AGCGGGUUAGCUCAUCGGGAAGAGCGGUCAGAAGCGCGCGAUAAUACAGCUGACAGGCGAAUGGUUCGAUUCCAUUACCCGCUA
rnacentral:tRNA from 1 species